rnacentral:lncRNA from 1 species
CCCCACCCCGCCUCCGCCUCCGCCCCCGCCUCGCUGCCGGGUUUAGCGGCAUGUUGCCCGGCCGCCGCUGCCCGACGGUGGAAGAAGCGUGGCGGAGAAGCUGCUGCCGCCCGCCAGGACUGAGUUAGGUGGAAUAAACAACGGUGGCACUGCCCUGCCCUGCUGGUGCGGUUGUCUUUUGGGGAAGAGUUACUUCUAGCAGGUGCUUAAAAACAGCAUGGGAGCAGUGGUUAUGAUGUGCUGAUACUGGCUGCAAUCACGAUGAAAUUUCAGAGUUCAGAUUACCAUGAUCGUCUAUGUACCUCUAUUUCCAUUGGUGGGAUGACAUCAAGUGGCUUCUGCUACUGUGUGUACUUCAAGCACAAUGCAGCUGUGAACGCCCCAUGCCAGGCCCAGCCCAGAGGUGGAGAAAAGACAAGAUCCUGGUCAAGCGUAAGACAGAAGAGAGACAGAUGUUGGUGGCUAAUAUGGCCUGUUUUCCUCACCCGAGUGACUUCUUUCCCCUUUUCCAACCUUGAAUUCAACAGGAAUGGCAAGUGUGUCUCUCUCAGACAAGUGCAUCUCCCCCUAUUGUCUGCUUGCUCUGCUUGUGCCAGUGGGGAGCCCUGACUGACCAGCUAGUCAGUUUUCUGAGUGCUGCUCAGUUGAGCCUAAUCCCUGUAAUGACCAACGCAGAAUGAAAGUGUUGCUCAUUUACUGUAGGCCUGGUUACUUGGGUGGAAAAGCAUCAAUGCUGGC